GGGUGCAGCAGGAGCUGCUGGGAAGGGGAGGGUGCGCAGAGACUGGGUGCUCUGGGGAAAGGAGGUUGGUACCAUUGGGACUUCUCCCCUCCAUAUAUUUGGGGUGGAAGAGUGAGCGGAGAUGAGGCUGGGGAUGGCCCUGUAGGCCCUGCUGCCUCCUCCUUCAAUUGCAGGCACCCAUGCAGAAUAUGCAGCACCACUGCUGCCCACGGCCAGGGGAUGGAGACCACGGGUCCUGCCGGUCCCAUCUCUGUCCCCUGAGGCUUGGUGGUGCCCGUGGGAGGGAUGGGAUGUGAAAGCUGCCCCCGCUGCCAGGGGGUCGAGAGGUUCCGCCACAGCCUGGCUCUGGAAUGGGCUGUUCCUGCAUUUGCUGAUAACAGAGGAGGUGAAGCCUGACCCAGGAAAGCAGGCAAGAUCCGCAGAGAUAAACUCUCUGCAGCAAGACAAAGGCACUGACCUCCGCGCAGCCCAAGCCACCGCAUUCCCACAAGCACAGCAACAAUUGCCCAGGAGCAGCAGCGAGACCUGCACCAGCCCUGUGGCAGCGCCAGCACCUCCUGCAGCAUCGCUGUGCGGCAGCCAAGGCACUGCUGUUAACCACAUCUGUCCUCGGUAUCAACCAGAUCUGUUGCAGAUAUCAGCUGGAUCUGCUGCAGAUACCAUCUGCCCAGGCAGGGGCAGCACAGGGAGCCCGUGGUCAUUGCUCACUCUCCAUUCUGCAGUGCAACACGUGCAGUGCUGCCUGCAUUGCAUGGACAGAGGGCACAUGGACACUUCACAAUCAAAGGGAAAUUCACUCUCAGCACAGCAUUCCUGGGUCCAACCAUCCCCAGCCCUCCCUCUCUUCCAGACGCCAGAGCUCAGCAAAGCAGGGUUACGAGGAUAAACAGAUUAAAGGCUGCGAGAUAUUGUGGCAAAGAAGGUUAAACAGGACCCUGUGACAGACAGCCCACGGGCAGGAGCGAGCAUCAGAGCCACGCUCAGCACAACCAGCGACCCACCUCCGUGCCAUGCAAAUGUCCCACAUCCCAGCGCUGGCGCUGCCUUCCCAAGACACGUCCCUCCGCCAGCCGAAACCCCGAG
ensembl:lncRNA